GUGACCAAAAUGUAAAAUAAAUGAUGUUGUCAACUUACCCGUGUGUGCUGCUAGAUAUGGUCUGAAGGUGGAUAUCUGGGCUGCAGGCGUGAUCACCUACAUCCUACUGUGUGGGUUCCCUCCGUUCCGCAGUGAGAAUAACGACCAGGAGGAGUUGUUUGACCAGAUACUCAGGGGGAAGCUGGAGUUCCCUUCCCCAGACUGGGACACAGUCAGCCUGCCGGCCAAGAUGCUGAUUGGUCAGAUGCUGCAGGUGAACGCGGACACUCGUUAUACCGCAGAGGAGGUCCUCUCACACCCCUGGGUUACGGACGAGGCGACCCUAGAGAGCAGAAACGUGAACACAGAGACAUUAUCGUCAGCAACGGUGACCCCUGACCUUCCAGUGACCCCUACAGCGACCUUUGACCCUAUGACCCCAGCAGCACAGAGUAGCCCUGCCCACAACAACACUACUAAUCCCAACACUAAAUCUGUUACCUCUCCACUCUGCUGAGGACACAUCCCCUUUCCAGCCCCUAGGCAAGGGAUGGGCAACUUUGAAUGGGGUGGGGCCCACAAAAAAAUCUGAAUUCAUCACGAGGGGCUGCAGCGGCUCGUGGGUGAAGAGAAGAAUUUAGCAAUUUUAUAACUAAUUUCCUGCAAUUCUACACAUUUUGCCACAGGGUGGAGAGAAAUGUUUGCAGUGUUU